rnacentral:rRNA from 1 species
AUUGAACGCUGGCGGCAGGCCUAACACAUGCAAGUCGAACGAGUGGCGGACGGGUGAGUAAUGUUUGGGAAACUGCCUGAUGGAGGGGGAUAACUACUGGAAACUGUAGCUAAUACCGCGUACCAUAAGAUGUGCCCAAGUGGGAUUAGCUGGUUGGUGGGGUAAAGGCUCACCAAGCCGACGAUCCCUAGCUGGUCUGAGAGGAUGACCAGCCACACUGGAACUGAGACACGGUCCAGACUCCUACGGGAGGCAGCAGUGGGGAAUAUUGCGCAAUGGGAGCAACCCUGACGCAGCCAUGCCGCGUGAAUGAAGAAGGCCUUCGGGUUGUAAAGUUCUGUCAGUCGGGAGGCGUUAACUGCAGAAGAAGCACCGGCUAACUCCGUGCCAGCAGCCGCGGUAAUAC